rnacentral:lncRNA from 1 species
AUUGAACUCCGGGGGGGAGGGGGAUCCCAAAGGGAAUUUGUUAUACCAGACAAGAAGUCAGAGCACAAGGCCAGGAGUGAGGCCAGCAUUCGGGGAAGGACUCAGGCAAGCAUCCCGGGGAAUCUGGGAGGUGAGCUGGGCGCAGAGCUGGCCAGACUUAGCCUGUUUCCUGCCUCCUGCUGACUCCGGGGCCUCCCCAGGGAGACUGGUAAGAACCCCAGCAGAGAACCUUGCUUUCUCCCAGCUGAUUUCCCAACUCUGUCUUUGAGUCUCAGUCUUGUCAGCUGUAGAAUGGACGGAGCCCUGGCGAAGAGAGACAGCCACAGGACGGUACCUGCAGCUCUGUGGCCGGAAUGGGGACCUGGGGCUGGAGCAGAGUCAUCUACUUCAAACUGA